GAUGAAGAACGUAGCAAAAUGCGAUAAGUAAUGUGAAUUGCAGAAUUCAGUGAAUCAUCGAAUCUUUGAACGCACAUUGCGCCCGCCAGUAUUCUGGCGGGCAUGCCUGUUCGAGCGUCAUUUCAACCCUCAAGCACAGCUUGGUGUUGGAACUCGCGUUAAUUCGCGUUCCCCAAAUUGAUUGGCGGUCACGUCGAGCUUCCAUAGCGUAGUAGUAAAACCCUCGUUACUGGUAAUCGUCGCGGCCACGCCGUUAAACCCCAACUUCUGAAUGUUGACCUCGGAUCAGGUAGGAAUACCCGCUGAACUUAAGCAUAUCAAUAAGCGGAGGA
rnacentral:misc_RNA from 1 species